rnacentral:tRNA from 1 species
GGAAAUGUGGCCUAAAGGUAAAGUGCUUGCCUUGCAUGCAUGAAGCCCCGGGUUCGAUUCCUCGGUACCA